GACGUAGGGCGCGAGCGUUGUCCGGAUUUAUUGGGCGUAAAGAGCUCGUAGGCGGUUUGUCGCGUCGUCUGUGAAAACCCACGGCUCAACUGUGGGCUUGCAGUCGAUACGGGCAGGCUAGAGUUCGGUAGGGGAGACUGGAAUUCCUGGUGCAGCGGUGAAAUGCGCAGAUAUCAGGAGGAACACCGAUGGCGAAGGCAGGUCUCUGGGCCACUACUGACGCUGAGAAGCGAAAGCAUGGGGAGCGAACAGG
rnacentral:rRNA from 1 species